GCAGUCUUCGCUGACUACUUUGUCUUUAACUUGCAAUAUCCAGCAGAAGUCGCAAGCACACUUGAAUUCCUUCAGAGGUGGUGACAAUAGACCUCCAUUACAUGACUUACAGACAGAUAUCAAAAUUGAAAAUACUGUGGAAACAAAGACACCUACAUCUUGGAUACCCUUGAGGUAAGCUAAAACAUACCAAAAAUGUAUAUCAAAGUGAACUAUCCCUGUAAUGUUUCAUGUCAUGGUAAUGACCAUGUCAUAUCAGUCUUAAAUGUUAUCUGAUAAGUGUGUUUCCCUCCCUGUUUUCAGAGCCUUUUGCAGCAUCCCCAGAUGGGCAGGCAGAGAAAAAAACGUCCAAAAUGUGCAUUGUGGACUCGUUUUCUCAUUAGUUUUAAGAGAAAAUAAAAAUAUAUAUUUAAAAAAAAA